GACGAACGCUGGCGGCGUGCCUAAUACAUGCAAGUCGAGCGAGCUUGCCUAUUGAAAUUCUUCGGAAUGGACAUAGAUACAAGCUAGCGGCGGAUGGGUGAGUAACGCGUGGGUAACCUGCCCUUAAGUCUGGGAUACCAUUUGGAAACAGAUGCUAAUACCGGAUAAAAGCUACUUUCGCAUGAAAGAAGUUUAAAAGGCGGCGUAAGCUGUCGCUAAAGGAUGGACCUGCGAUGCAUUAGCUAGUUGGUAAGGUAACGGCUUACCAAGGCGAUGAUGCAUAGCCGAGUUGAGAGACUGAUCGGCCACAUUGGGACUGAGACACGGCCCAAACUCCUACGGGAGGCAGCAGUAGGGAAUCUUCCACAAUGGACGCAAGUCUGAUGGAGCAACGCCGCGUGAGUGAAGAAGGUUUUCGGAUCGUAAAGCUCUGUUGUUGGUGAAGAAGGAUAGAGGUAGUAACUGGCCUUUAUUUGACGGUAAUCAACCAGAAAGUCACGGCUAACUACGUGCCAGCAGCCGCGGUAAUACGUAGGUGGCAAGCGUUGUCCGGAUUUAUUGGGCGUAAAGCGAGCGCAGGCGGAUUGAUAAGUCUGAUGUGAAAGCCUUCGGCUCAACCGAAGAACUGCAUCAGAAACUGUCAAUCUUGAGUGCAGAAGAGGAGAGUGGAACUCCAUGUGUAGCGGUGGAAUGCGUAGAUAUAUGGAAGAACACCAGUGGCGAAGGCGGCUCUCUGGUCUGUAACUGACGCUGAGGCUCGAAAGCAUGGGUAGCGAACAGG
rnacentral:rRNA from 1 species